AUUGAACGCUGGCGGCAGGCCUAACACAUGCAAGUCGAGCGGAUGAAGGGAGCUUGCUCCGGAUUCAGCGGCGGACGGGUGAGUAAUGCCUAGGAAUCUGCCUGGUAGUGGGGGAUAACGUCCGGAAACGGGCGCUAAUACCGCAUACGUCCUGAGGGAGAAAGUGGGGAUCUUCGGACCUCACGCCAUCAGAUGAGCCUAGGUCGGAUUAGCUAGUUGGUGGGGUAAAGGCCUACCAAGGCGACGAUCCGUAACUGGUCUGAGAGGAUGAUCAGUCACACUGGAACUGAGACACGGUCCAGACUCCUACGGGAGGCAGCAGUGGGGAAUAUUGGACAAUGGGCGAAAGCCUGAUCCAGCCAUGCCGCGUGUGUGAAGAAGGUCUUCGGAUUGUAAGGCACUUUAAGUUGGGAGGAAGGGCAGUAAGUUAAUACCUUGCUGUUUUGACGUUACCAACAGAAUAAGCACCGGCUAACUUCGUG
rnacentral:rRNA from 1 species